rnacentral:lncRNA from 1 species
UUUUUUUUUUUUUUUGAGUCAGGGUUUCAUCUGCCUGCCUCUGCCUCCCUAGUGCUGAGAUUAAAGGUGUGCGCCACCACCGCCUGGCUGAAAGUGCAUUUCUUGAUUCAGAAGAACAUUUGUGGGGAAGUCACAAUGGGAUGGCCUUAGGAAGCAGAUAAAGGUAGCUGCUGGGUCUUCCUCCUGCUAUGCUAACACCGAUCUGGUCUGUGCAGUGGUCCACCUGAUCCUGUUCUAUGAGAACCGGCUGAAGGACCACCAUCUUGUGGUCCCAUCUGUCUUACAGGGCCUGAGGGCACUGGUAAGUCCUUUUCACUGCAUGGCUGUCUGCGGUAGCCCUAGGAAGGUUCUCUCCGUGCCUUUUGGAGAUGAACGUUCACAUGCUGAAGGACAAAGGCGAAUAGAGGAAUAGGUUACUGUCGGCCAGACCUGUAGUUCUUACUCUGGAGGGUGAGGUCACCCUGUGUGGCAGUUCACUUUACCUUGUAAUACACUGCACCUCUCAUCUACACUUUAAAAAAAAAAAGGAGCUCUGGAGAAAUACUCGGCUAGAGAAAGUUUCUCACUGUGAAUGCUUCCUCCUGAGCAGGGAUUUUGGGAUACCCAAUUACCCAGUGAGGCACGAUGUAGAGUUGUAUCUUAGAGACAGUUUUCUCUCUCAUAUCUUCCCUCCUACCGCAGAGCAUGUCUGUGGCCCUGCCUCCGGGUCUGGCUGUCUCUGUGCUUAAAGCCAUCUUCCAGGAGGUACAUGUACAGGUGAGUGAUAAUGGUUGCUAAUUUCUUGUUGCUAGCCUUUGUCUUGUGUACUUGAUAUAGCUAGGACGAGGUGACAACAGAUUGUCUUCCAUGUUCUGGAUGCUUUAAGGUCUGAUGAUCUUGUGUAUGUGGUAUCCCUUUCUACUGUGUAAGGGGGGGUGACGACACUAGAUCUGGAAUGUUCUCUCAGCUGAAGAACCUGAGCCAUACAUGAAGCAGGUUUAGGUCACUGGCAUCACUGUUGUGCUGGUCGGGAGCCAGGCCCUUUCUCUACAGUCCUCUUAACCUGAUCUCGUGCUGCCUUAGAGAUUCGUGAAGUAGGACAUGGUUGUAGUGUUUGAAGAAAUCUUUGUUCUCUUUUCCACUCACUCUCUUUCUUCCCCACCCUCAAGUCCCUGCUACAGGUGGACCGCCAUACUGUCUUCAGCAUCAUCACUAACUUCAUGCGAUCACGAGAAGAAGGUGAGGAGUCUGAGAAGCAAGCGAUUGCUCUUUCUCCCCCUGCCCCCGCCCCGGAACCCCAUUAGAAGGGUGGAUUGUGCUCUAGGGGAUAUGUGAAAGGCCUCAGACUGAGGAAUGAUAAAGGUUUGGAGUACAGACUUUUCCCAGCGGAGGAAGGUUUUUAAUUCUGGACUUGAGUAAGUGCGCAUGCACGCACACACAGACUUGCACGUAUCUUCACUGAGUACCUGGAUCUAGGCAGGAAAGAAGAACAAGAGGCAGCAGGAAGACGCCAGGCUUUCUGUCCCAUGGGACAGCAGUGACCUUGUUUUCUCCUUCCCAGAGCUGAAGGGUCUGGGAGCUGACUUCACAUUUGGCUUCAUCCAGGUGAUGGAUGGGGAGAAGGAUCCCCGUAAUCUCCUGCUGGCUUUCCGCAUCGUCCAUGACCUCAUCUCCAAGGACUACAGUCUGGGUAGGUUUUCAUAGCACUGAAUUAGCUGGUUGAAGCUGCUCAGAGGUAAUGAGCCCAAGUCAACUUUAUCCUUUCUCUGUUGCCGCAGGACCUUUCGUGGAAGAGUUAUUUGAAGUGACAUCUUGUUAUUUCCCUAUUGAUUUUACCCCUGUAAGUAGCACCUUCAUUCUGGAUCAGAUAGUCAAGAAUAUGCGCUAUGUCAGACAUUGUUCUAGACAAGCAAACAAAACAGACAGUCCCUGCAUUUACAUUUUGUUUGUUUAGUGUGUAUGCGUGUGCAGUUUUGUGCAGUGUGGGUGCCUGAGUGUGGAGGCAGAGGAGGACGUUGAGUGUCUCCUUUAUACCUGUCCACUUGCUCAUGACAGACCCUCCUGCCACCAGGGUCUGCCACGCAACUUGGAGCUCCCUGGUUUUGGACUGGCCACUGUCUGCACACCACUGUCCACUGCCCCAGGGACAGUUGUACUGGGGUCUGUGGCUCCUGCUGUCCUGUCACUUUUUCCACCGAGCUAUUUUCCCAGGCUGAUAGAUAUUUUAAAGUCCUUAUGGAUUCAUAUUUUAGUAAACUGAAAAAUGGAGAGUCAUCCAACACCAAAGGUAGGAUUCAAAGGUGAGAGGGUACCUAGCAAUGCACUCAGUGCUGAAGGGCACAGGGUUGUAAGCUGCGGUCCCUGCCCUUGAAGGCUGCAGCAUUGAGGUAGCAAUAUAGAUUAGAUAUCAAAAUGAAUGGUACUAUAGUCAUUCUGAAAGACAAGGGUUUAGUAGAAGCUACAGUUGGCAGGAACUUACCUAGCAGAUGAGAGGAUGUUGGGUGGUUGCUGAGGGAAGUAUAGAAGAUGAAUUUGUAGUUAUGGAGGGCAUCUAGGAUAAUAAAGCAAACGAUCAGGGGGGGACUUUUGGGAUAGCAUUGGAAAUGUAAUUGAAGAAAAUACGU